rnacentral:rRNA from 2 species
CAUGCAAGUCGAACGAACUCUGGUAUUGAUUGGUGCUUGCAUCAUGAUUUACAUUUGAGUGAGUGGCGAACUGGUGAGUAACACGUGGGAAACCUGCCCAGAAGCGGGGGAUAACACCUGGAAACAGAUGCUAAUACCGCAUAACAACUUGGACCGCAUGGUCCGAGUUUGAAAGAUGGCUUCGGCUAUCACUUUUGGAUGGUCCCGCGGCGUAUUAGCUAGAUGGUGGGGUAACGGCUCACCAUGGCAAUGAUACGUAGCCGACCUGAGAGGGUAAUCGGCCACAUUGGGACUGAGACACGGCCCAAACUCCUACGGGAGGCAGCAGUAGGGAAUCUUCCACAAUGGACGAAAGUCUGAUGGAGCAACGCCGCGUGAGUGAAGAAGGGUUUCGGCUCGUAAAACUCUGUUGUUAAAGAAGAACAUAUCUGAGAGUAACUGUUCAGGUAUUGACGGUAUUUAACCAGAAAGCCACGGCUAACUACGUGCCAGCAGCCGCGGUAAUACGUAGGUGGCAAGCGUUGUCCGGAUUUAUUGGGCGUAAAGCGAGCGCAGGCGGUUUUUUAAGUCUGAUGUGAAAGCCUUCGGCUCAACCGAAGAAGUGCAUCGGAAACUGGGAAACUUGAGUGCAGAAGAGGGACAGUGGAACUCCAUGUGUAGCGGUGAAAUGCGUAGAUAUAUGGAAGAACACCAGUGGCGAAGGCGGCUGUCUGGUCUGUAACUGACGCUGAGGCUCGAAAGUAUGGGUAGCAAACAGGAUUAGAUACCCUGGUAGUCCAUACCGUAAACGAUGAAUGCUAAGUGUUGGAGGGUUUCCGCCCUUCAGUGCUGCAGCUAACGCAUUAAGCAUUCCGCCUGGGGAGUACGGCCGCAAGGCUGAAACUCAAAGGAAUUGACGGGGGCCCGCACAAGCGGUGGAGCAUGUGGUUUAAUUCGAAGCUACGCGAAGAACCUUACCAGGUCUUGACAUACUAUGCAAAUCUAAGAGAUUAGACGUUCCCUUCGGGGACAUGGAUACAGGUGGUGCAUGGUUGUCGUCAGCUCGUGUCGUGAGAUGUUGGGUUAAGUCCCGCAACGAGCGCAACCCUUAUUAUCAGUUGCCAGCAUUAAGUUGGGCACUCUGGUGAGACUGCCGGUGACAAACCGGAGGAAGGUGGGGAUGACGUCAAAUCAUCAUGCCCCUUAUGACCUGGGCUACACACGUGCUACAAUGGAUGGUACAACGAGUUGCGAACUCGCGAGAGUAAGCUAAUCUCUUAAAGCCAUUCUCAGUUCGGAUUGUAGGCUGCAACUCGCCUACAUGAAGUCGGAAUCGCUAGUAAUCGCGGAUCAGCAUGCCGCGGUGAAUACGUUCCCGGGCCUUGUACACACCGCCCGUCACACCAUGAGAGUUUGUAACACCCAAAGUCGGUGGGGUAACCUUUUAGGAACCAGCC